rnacentral:rRNA from 1 species
CUCAACCGAGGAACUGCUCGGUGAACCGUAUGUCUUGAGACAGGUAGAGGCCGUCGGAACGCUCGGUGGAGUGGUGAAAUGCGUUGAUAUCAAGCGGAACGCCAAAGACGAAGGUAGGCGGCUGGGCCUGAUCUGACGCUGAGGUACGAAAGCGUGGGGAGCGAACGGGAUUAGAUACCCCGGUAGUCCACGCCGUAAACGAUGUGCACUAGGUCGAGCGGGUACUGACGCCGCGCUCGGCCGAAGCGAAAGUGCUAAGUGCACCGCCUGGGGAGUACGGUCGCAAGGCUAAAACUCAAAGGAAUUGACGGGGGCUCACACAAGCGGUGGAGCAUGUGGCUUAAUUCGAAGCAACGCGAAGAACCUUAUCCUGGGUUUGACAUGCACGGAUUAAGUCCGAGAAAUCGGACCCACGCCUUUUAGGUGGAACG